rnacentral:rRNA from 1 species
UACGUAGGGGGCAAGCGUUGUCCGGAAUUAUUGGGCGUAAAGAGCUCGUAGGCGGUUCGUCGCGUCGGCUGUGAAAACCCGGAGCUCAACUCCGGGCCUGCAGUCGAUACGGGCGGACUCGAGUUCGGCAGGGGAGACUGGAAUUCCUGGUGUAGCGGUGAAAUGCGCAGAUAUCAGGAGGAACACCGGUGGCGAAGGCGGGUCUCUGGGCCGAUACUGACGCUGAGGAGCGAAAGCGUGGGGAGCGAACAGG